GGCGAACGCUGGCGGCGUGCUUAACACAUGCAAGUCGAACGGAAAGGCCCUGCUUGCAGGGUACUCGAGUGGCGAACGGGUGAGUAACACGUGGGUGAUCUGCCCUGCACUUCGGGAUAAGCCUGGGAAACUGGGUCUAAUACCGGAUAGGAGCCAUUUUUAGUGUGAUGGUUGGAAAGUUUUUUCGGUGUAGGAUGAGCUCGCGGCCUAUCAGCUUGUUGGUGGGGUAAUGGCCUACCAAGGCGGCGACGGGUAGCCGGCCUGAGAGGGUGGACGGCCACAGUGGGACUGAGAUACGGCCCAGACUCCUACGGGAGGCAGCAGUGGGGAAUAUUGCACAAUGGGCGCAAGCCUGAUGCAGCGACGCCGCGUGGGGGAUGACGGCCUUCGGGUUGUAAACUCCUUUCGCUAGGGACGAAGCUUUUUGUGACGGUACCUAGAUAAGAAGCACCGGCUAACUACGUG
rnacentral:rRNA from 1 species